AGUUAGCUUGCUAACUUGAGACCGGCGCACGGGUGCGUAACGCGUAUGCAAUCUACCUUUCACAAAGGGAUAGCCCAGAGAAAUUUGGAUUAAUACCUUAUAGUAUAUAUGAAUGGCAUCAUUUAUAUAUUAAAGAUUUAUCGGUGAAAGAUGAGCAUGCGUCCCAUUAGCUAGUUGGUAAGGUAACGGCUUACCAAGGCAACGAUGGGUAGGGGUCCUGAGAGGGAGAUCCCCCACACUGGUACUGAGACACGGACCAGACUCCUACGGGAGGCAGCAGUGAGGAAUAUUGGACAAUGGGCGCAAGCCUGAUCCAGCCAUGCCGCGUGCAGGAUGACGGUCCUAUGGAUUGUAAACUGCUUUUAUACGAGAAGAAACCCUCCGACGUGUCGGAGCUUGACGGUAUCGUAAGAAUAAGGAUCGGCUAACUCCGUGCCAGCAGCCGCGGUAAUACGGAGGAUCCAAGCGUUAUCCGGAAUCAUUGGGUUUAAAGGGUCCGUAGGCGGUCAGGUAAGUCAGUGGUGAAAGCCCAUCGCUCAACGGUGGAACGGCCAUUGAUACUGUCUGACUUGAAUUAUUAGGAAGUAACUAGAAUAUGUAGUGUAGCGGUGAAAUGCUUAGAGAUUACAUGGAAUACCAAUUGCGAAGGCAGGUUACUACUAAUGGAUUGACGCUGAUGGA
rnacentral:rRNA from 1 species